AAGUACAGGGGUACUGGGAUUAAAGGCGUGUGCCACCACCACAGCCUGGCUUACUUACAUUGUAAUUCUUAACAGUAAUAAAUUCUAGUUAUAAAGUAGCAAUGAAAAUGUUACAAUGGGGCUCACCACAAAAUGAGAAACUGUAUUAAAGAGCAGCAGUGUUAGGAAGGUUGAGAAACAAAGAAGGGAACCAGCUGCCCAGACACAAACGCUUUGAAAGAGUAUCAGGGAAGCACCUACCUUGCCCACCCACAGUCACCAGCGCUCUAUGUGUUAACUCUCACAGCCCUGCAGGAAGGCACCUAACAGUCUAUCUUCCAGAUGGGGAAACUGACACGCACCCAUUAAGUGACUCCACUAAAUGACUUCCGGCCAGGAAGCCAAACUUCAGUAGGUUGAGACAGCUCAGAGAAAUGAUUUUGAAAGAAAAUCGACCGUCAAGGCUAAUGAUUGACAGCAUUUCUGAUUACAACAGCUGUCCAAACAGCAUUUGAUCCAACUCAAACAACCUCUCAGCACCCGCUCCAAAAAAAAGGGGGGGACAAGAAUUUAGAUGUGUGAUUUCGACAAUUAAGACAAGUCACACACCACACUAGAGCUAGUGUGAGCACUAGGAAACUCCCGGGGUUCAGGCACAGCGCCGUACCAGUAUGGCAGCUAGGGUUCAGCAAGCUGGGUUCCAUCCUCCCUGCCUCCUAAGGACAUGGCUCUCGGCAGGCUUUCUUUCGUGUUACCUGGAAACCGGAUGGGCAAACCAGGCAGCUCACUUAGGUCUCAGGGGCCAUUGUCAGACUUUACAGCGCCACACACUUCUGAACGGCCUGAGUCGCUAUGUGACCUCCAACUUCCCACUUCCUCACACGGCUCUGCCAAACAAAGAGCCACAGAGAUGCCUCUACAUGGAAGAACAGUGGGGGUGUAUACCAAGACACACCCUGACAGCUGGAUGAGUGAUGGACACUGGGCAAGUCUGCGAUGCUCCCGAUGGCUGGAUCCCGAAAUCCAAUCUUCCCCUGAGCCCUUCAAUCUGCCCAAUAUCUAAACUGCAUCCAACUGUCCUAGAGCCUCAAGCAAGAGAAACAUGGCGGCCAGUAUUAUCAACCCGACAGGAGACAAACCUCAGGGCAUGCCAGUGACUCUCAGGACAGGGCUGAGGUGGUAAGAAAGACUGAUUUACCCUAUGUAAAUACCCACGAGUUAUGUCCUAACCUACAUAUGAAAAGGAGGAAGUAAAAAGGCAUC
rnacentral:sRNA from 1 species